rnacentral:rRNA from 1 species
UGGGGAAUCUUGCGCUAAUGCGGGAAACCGUGACGCAGCGACGCCGCGUGAGGGAAGAAGGCCUUCGGGUUGUAAACCUCUUUCAGGAGGGACGAAGCUACUCGGGUUAAUAGCCCAGAGGGUGACGGUACCUCCAGAAGAAGCCCCGGCUAACUACGUGCCAGCAGCCGCGGUAAUACGUAGGGGGCAAGCGUUGUCCGGAUUUAUUGGGCGUAAAGAGCGUGUAGGCGGCUAGGUAGGUCCGUUGUGAAAACUCGAGGCUCAACCUCGAGACGUCGAUGGAAACCAUCUAGCUAGAGUCCGGAAGAGGAGAGUGGAAUUCCUGGUGUAGCGGUGAAAUGCGCAGAUAUCAGGAAGAACACCCGUGGCGAAGGCGGCUCUCUGGUACGUGACUGACGCUGAGACGCGAAAGCGUGGGGAGCGAACAGG